rnacentral:tRNA from 1 species
GGAGAGGUGGCAGAGCGGCUGAAUGCGGCGGUCUCGAAAACCGUUAAGCCGGUACUCCCGGCUUCCGGGGUUCAAAUCCCCGCCUCUCCGCCA